rnacentral:lncRNA from 1 species
GGAGUGCAAGGCCUCAUCACAGAGUUACAUGAAGACCGUGACACGAAAUUCCUCUGGAAAAACGAAGAUGCAGAGGAAGACAUAAUAUCAGAAGACGAAGAGACUGACCAAUUUAUUUGUUGCUUAGCACAUUAGAUUGCUACUGAAACUUUUCAACACUGAACAUUUCACUGAUUCCCUUUUCUCUGCCAUCUGUCUGAUCUGGCCUCUUUCCAAAUAAUGCUGCUUUCCCAGUGGAUGUGGUUGUCCUGGUACAAGAGUUUUCAGUCAGGGUAAGGAAAACUCACAUUAUGUUCAGUUGUUUCUUUGAUAGUGCUUAUAAAUAUUGAAAGCCCAUAUACACUUACAGUCUGUAGAUUCUAAGAUGCCCACUAAAAAUACCUGUUUGUCACGAACUCUGACUUGUGCUCUGUUUUAUUGAAAAG